UCAUGUGAUGUAAUUGUGUGGGGGACUCUUUCAUUUUACUGUUUCUCUGCAGUUUCUAACUAUGCUUUAUCAACUUCCACCCUCUCCUAUUUACUAAGAUAUCCCCAUUAAUCGAUACUCCCCUAAGGAAUGUCUUUGUCCAAUCUAUGUGCUUCUCUGUGUCUGUUGGCUUUCCCCCAAACCCUUGGUAUAAAAACUUCUCUAUAACCUUUUAAUUUUUACAUGCCAGGAAUCUGGUUCUGUUUUGGUUUAGGUGGAGUUGGCCCGGGAUGGCGAACCGCGGCCAGUGGGGGCGUGAUUGGCCGAACCUGCUGCGUCAGCAGAGCCUGCAAGAACCCAUGUCUUCUCCCAAUGAAAUGAAAUGUUCUGACUCAGGUUCCAGCUGCGUGGAGAGCUGAUCAGCACAGGUGACCAUGCAGAGUUCAUCAGCACAGGUGAACAUGCAGUCCCAGAAUCGAAAAAGAGCUCCAGCAUGGACCGUACUGGACCUGAUUGCUGUAUGUGGAGAUGAAUCCGUGCUAUCAGAACUCCGUUCCAAAAGACGGAAUGCCAAAACAUUUAAAAAAAAAUCUCCAAGGCCAUGAUGGACAGACUAUAGGCUGAGCAAGUGCAGAAUGGUGGUUCACUCU